CUACGGAGGGUGCAAGCGUUACUCGGAAUCACUGGGCGUAAAGCGCGCGCAGGCGGGCUGAUAAGUUGGAUGUGAAAGCCUACGGCUCAACCGUAGAACUGCAUCCAAAACUGUCAGUCUAGAGUGUGGGAGAGGAAGAUGGAAUUAGUUGUGUAGGGGUAAAAUCCGUAGAGAUAACUAGGAAUACCAAAAGCGAAGGCAAUCUUCUGGAACACUACUGACGCUGAGGCGCGAAAGCGUGGGGAGCAAACAGGAUUAGAAACCCUAGUAGUCC
rnacentral:rRNA from 1 species